rnacentral:rRNA from 1 species
UACGUAGGGGGCAAGCGUUGUCCGGAAUCAUUGGGCGUAAAGCGCGCGUAGGCGGCCCGGUAAGUCCGCUGUAAAAGUCCAGGGCUCAACCCUGGAAAGCCGGGUGGAUACUGUCGGGCUAGAGUCCGGAAGAGGCGAGUGGAAUUCCUGGUGUAGCGGUGGAAUGGCGCAGAUAUCAGGAGGAACACCAACGGCGAAGGCAGCUCGCUGGGACGGUACUGACGCUGAGGCGCGAAAGCUAGGGGAGCAAACAGG